rnacentral:rRNA from 1 species
AUUGAACGCUGGCGGCAUGCCUUACACAUGCAAGUCGAACGGCAGCACGGGAGCAAUCCUGGUGGCGAGUGGCGAACGGGUGAGUAAAGUAUCGGAACGUGCCCAGUCGUGGGGGAGAACGUAGCGAAAGUUACGCUAAUACCGCAUACGAUCUAUGGAUGAAAGCGGGGGAUCGCAAGACCUCGCGCGAUUGGAGCGGCCGAUAUCAGAUUAGGUAGUUGGUGGGGUAAAGGCUCACCAAGGCGACGACCUGUAGCGGGUCUGAGAGGACGCCAAGCCACACUGGAACUGAGACACGGCCCAGACUCCUACGGGAGGCAGCAGUGGGGAAUUUUGGACAAUGGGCGAAAGCCUGAUCCAGCCAUGCCGCGUGCAGGAUGAAGGCCUUCGGGUUGUAAACUGCUUUUGUACGGAACGAAAAGGUUUGGGCUAAUAAGCUGAGCUCAUGACGGUACCGUAAGAAUAAGCACCGGCUAACUACGUGCCAGCAGCCGCGGUAA